UACGUAGGUGGCAAACGUUGUCCGGAAUUACUGGGCGUAAAGGGCGAGUAGGUGGUUUAUUAAGUCAAGAGUGAAAACUCCGGGCUCAACCCGGAGACUGCUUUACGAAACUGGUAAACUUGAGUGCAGGAGAGGGAAGUGGAAUUCCUAGUGUAGCGGUGAAAUGCGUAGAUAUUAGGAAGAACACCAGUGGCGAAGGCGACCUCCUGGCCUGUAACUGACACUGAGGCGCGAAAGCGUGGGGAUCAAACAGG
rnacentral:misc_RNA from 1 species